rnacentral:rRNA from 1 species
UGGGGAAUAUUGGGCAAUGGGCGCAAGCCUGACCCAGCAACGCCGCGUGAGGGAAGAAGGCCUUCGGGUUGUAAACCUCUGUCCUAUGGGAAGAAAAAAAUGACGGUACCAUAGGAGGAAGCUCCGGCUAACUACGUGCCAGCAGCCGCGGUAAUACGUAGGGAGCAAGCGUUGUCCGGAAUUACUGGGCGUAAAGGGUGCGUAGGCGGUUGCUUAAGUCAGAUGUGAAAUACUCGGGCUCAACUCGGGGGCUGCAUCUGAUACUGGGUAACUAGAGUGCAGGAGAGGAAAGUGGAAUUCCUAGUGUAGCGGUGGAAUGCGUAGAUAUUAGGAGGAACACCAGUGGCGAAGGCGACUUUCUGGACUGUAACUGACGCUGAGGCACGAAAGUAUGGGUAGCAAACAGG